GCAGUGUCUCUGUCACCAGCCAGGUGACUGUGGUGGCCAGUAGGGCCAGGCGGUCUUCGUGAGUGGGCGGGUGGUCCUAUUGUGGCAUCUCUGUCACCAGCCAGGUGCCUGUGAUGGCUAGCAGGGCCAGGCGGUCUUCAUGGGAGCAUUAUUCAUGGACCCUCAUCCCGUCUCAUGCCUCUCCUGCCUUCCUCUACUGUGGUGACGAGGACAGGUCUCACCUGUGCACUCAUUUCCAGGAUGAUGGGCAGCUUUCUAGAAGCUUUUGUGUGCCAAGAAUUGGCCAUGUCUUCUUUUGAAAAGUGUCUGUUCAUGUCCUUUGCCCACUUCUCAGUGGGGCUGUUUGGUGUUUGCUUAUAAAUUUGUUUAAGCUCUUAAUAGGGCUAGAUAUUAGAUCUUUAUCAGAUGCAUAUAGUUUGCAGAUAUUUUCUCCCAUUCUAUGCCAUUAUCCUUAGCAAACUAAUGCAGGAACAGAAAACCAAAUGCUGCAUGCUCUCACUUAGAAGUGGGGGCUAAAUGAUGAGAACACACGGACACAAGAAGGGGAACAGCACACACUGGGGCCUACUUGAGGGUGGAGGGUGGAAGGAGGAAGGGGAUCAGAAAAAAAGCCAAUACCUCAUCGGGGUACAAUUAGCACUUGACAAAUUGCCCGUUCUGCACACACUGCACAGUUUGAUAAGUUUUGAAAUCUGCGCACAUCAUGGCAUCAUUACCACAGUCAAGGUAAGGAACAGAUCCAGUCCUUCCUCAAAAGAAGCUUCUUUUUAAAUCCCUCCUGCCUUCCCAAGGCCUCUCCCUCCAUCCCAGGAAACCCCCCCUUCUGCUUCCUCUUACCCAUUGUUUUACUGAACUGUUUAUUUUCUUAUUUUUGGGUUUUCAGAGUUUUUUCUAAAUCCUGAAUACAAGUCCUGUGUCAGAAAUAUAACUUGCAAAUACUUUCUCCCAGUCUAUGGCUUACUGUUUUGUUGUCUUAAUUAUGUCCUUCAAAAAGUAGAUAUUCUUACUUUUGGUAAAGCCCAAUAUAUCAUUCUUCUGCUUUUACGGAUCGUAUUUUUGAUGUCAUAUGUAAGAAAUAUUUGCCCAGCCCAAGGACACAAAAAUUAUCUCUUAUAUUGUCUCCUUUUUCAGUUUUCUUUUUGGGUCUAUGUCUCAUUUUAAGUUAAAUUUUGUGCAUGUUAAGUUUUUCUUUGUAGUUGUAUCCAUUUUUGCUCUAUGUAUUUUGGAACUCUGUUAUUAAGUGCAUAUGCAUUUAGAAUUGUUAUGUCCUCUGGAUGAAUUAGUCCUUUAUCA
rnacentral:lncRNA from 1 species